UACGUAGGUGGCAAGCGUUAUCCGGAAUUAUUGGGCGUAAAGCGCGCGCAGGCGGUUUCUUAAGUCUGAUGUGAAAGCCCACGGCUCAACCGUGGAGGGUCAUUGGAAACUGGGAAACUUGAGUGCAGAAGAGAAGAGUGGAAUUCCACGUGUAGCGGUGAAAUGCGUAGAGAUGUGGAGGAACACCAGUGGCGAAGGCGACUCUUUGGCCUGUAACUGACACUGAGGCGCGAAAGCGUGGGGAGCAAACAGG
rnacentral:rRNA from 1 species